UGUUGCAACAUAAACAGUAUGAUCUGUGACUACAUUAAGACACAAGUUAUGUUUUCAUCACAGCAAAUUUAUUGCAGUGUUGACAAAGAGACCUGUAACAUUU
ensembl:snoRNA